rnacentral:rRNA from 1 species
CGGGCGUUAAGUUGCAGGGUAUAGACCCGAAACCCGGUGAUCUAGCCAUGGGCAGGUUGAAGGUUGGGUAACACUAACUGGAGGACCGAACCGACUAAUGUUGAAAAAUUAGCGGAUGACCUGUGGCUGGGGGUGAAAGGCCAAUCAAACCGGGAGAUAGCUGGUUCUCCCCGAAAGCUAUUUAGGUAGCGCCUCGUGAAUUCAUCUCCGGGGGUAGAGCACUGUUUCGGCUAGGGGGCCAUCCCGGCUUACCAACCCGAUGCAAACUGCGAAUACCGGAGAAUGUUAUCACGGGAGACACACGGCGGGUGCUAACGUCCGUCGUGAAGAGGGAAACAACCCAGACCGCCAGCUAAGGUCCCAAAGUCAUGGUUAAGUGGGAAACGAUGUGGGAAGGCCCAGACAGCCAGGAUGUUGGCUUAGAAGCAGCCAUCAUUUAAAGAAAGCGUAAUAGCUCACUGGUCGAGUCGGCCUGCGCGGAAGAUGUAACGGGGCUAAACCAUGCACCGAAGCUGCGGCAGCGACACUGUGUGUUGUUGGGUAGGGGAGCGUUCUGUAAGCCUGUGAAGGUGUGUCGUGAGGCAUGCUGGAGGUAUCAGAAGUGCGAAUGCUGACAUAAGUAACGAUAAAGCGGGUGAAAAGCCCGCUCGCCGGAAGACCAAGGGUUCCUGUCCAACGUUAAUCGGGGCAGGGUGAGUCGACCCCUAAGGCGAGGCCGAAAGGCGUAGUCGAUGGGAAACGGGUUAAUAUUCCCGUACUUGGUGUUACUGCGAAGGGGGGACGGAGAAGGCUAUGUUGGCCGGGCGACGGUUGUCCCGGUUUAAGCGUGUAGGUGUGUGUUCCAGGUAAAUCCGGUUCACUUUAACACUGAGGCGUGACGACGAGGCACUACGGUGCUGAAGCAACAAAUGCCCUGCUUCCAGGAAAAGCCUCUAAGCAUCAGGUAACAUCAAAUCGUACCCCAAACCGACACAGGUGGUCAGGUAGAGAAUACCAAGGCGCUUGAGAGAACUCGGGUGAAGGAACUAGGCAAAAUGGUGCCGUAACUUCGGGAGAAGGCACGCUGACACGUAGGUGAAGUGAUUUACUCAUGGAGCUGAAGUCAGUCGAAGAUACCAGCUGGCUGCAACUGUUUAUUAAAAACACAGCACUGUGCAAACACGAAAGUGGACGUAUACGGUGUGACGCCUGCCCGGUGCCGGAAGGUUAAUUGAUGGGGUCAGCGCAAGCGAAGCUCCUGAUCGAAGCCCCGGUAAACGGCGGCCGUAACUAUAACGGUCCUAAGGUAGCGAAAUUCCUUGUCGGGUAAGUUCCGACCUGCACGAAUGGCGUAAUGAUGGCCAGGCUGUCUCCACCCGAGACUCAGUGAAAUUGAACUCGCUGUGAAGAUGCAGUGUACCCGCGGCAAGACGGAAAGACCCCGUGAACCUUUACUAUAGCUUGACACUGAACAUUGAGCCUUGAUGUGUAGGAUAGGUGGGAGGCUUUGAAGUGUGGACGCCAGUCUGCAUGGAGCCGACCUUGAAAUACCACCCUUUAAUGUUUGAUGUUCUAACGUGGACCCGUUACCCGGGUUGCGGACAGUGUCUGGUGGGUAGUUUGACUGGGGCGGUCUCCUCCUAAAGAGUAACGGAGGAGCACGAAGGUUGGCUAAUCCUGGUCGGACAUCAGGAGGUUAGUGCAAUGGCAUAAGCCAGCUUGACUGCGAGCGUGACGGCGCGAGCAGGUGCGAAAGCAGGUCAUAGUGAUCCGGUGGUUCUGAAUGGAAGGGCCAUCGCUCAACGGAUAAAAGGUACUCCGGGGAUAACAGGCUGAUACCGCCCAAGAGUUCAUAUCGACGGCGGUGUUUGGCACCUCGAUGUCGGCUCAUCACAUCCUGGGGCUGAAGUAGGUCCCAAGGGUAUGGCUGUUCGCCAUUUAAAGUGGUACGCGAGCUGGGUUUAGAACGUCGUGAGACAGUUCGGUCCCUAUCUGCCGUGGGCGCUGGAGAACUGAGGGGGGCUGCUCCUAGUACGAGAGGACCGGAGUGGACGCAUCACUGGUGUUCGGGUUGUCAUGCCAAUGGCACUGCCCGGUAGCUAAAUGCGGAAGAGAUAAGUGCUGAAAGCAUCUAAGCACGAAACUUGCCCCGAGAUGAGUUCUCCCUGAGACUUAAAGUCUCCUGAAGGAACGUUGAAGACGACGACGUUGAUAGGCCGGGUGUGUAAGCGCAGCGAUGCGUUGAGCUAACCG